rnacentral:rRNA from 1 species
UACGUAGGGGGCAAGCGUUAUCCGGAUUUACUGGGUGUAAAGGGAGCGUAGACGGCGAUGCAAGCCAGAUGUGAAAGCCCGCGGCUCAACUGCGGUAGUGCAUUUGGAACUGUAUGGCUGGAGUGCAGGAGAGGCAGGCGGAAUUCCUAGUGUAGCGGUGAAAUGCGUAGAUAUUAGGAGGAACACCAGUGGCGAAGGCGGCCUGCUGGACUGUAACUGACGUUGAGGCUCGAAAGCGUGGGGAGCAAACA